rnacentral:rRNA from 1 species
GAUGAACGCUGGCGGCGUGCCUAAUACAUGCAAGUCGAGCGAACAGACGAGGAGCUUGCUCCUCUGACGUUAGCGGCGGACGGGUGAGUAACACGUGGAUAACCUACCUAUAAGACUGGGAUAACUUCGGGAAACCGAAGCUAAUACCGGAUAAUAUAUUGAACCGCAUGGUUCAAUAGUGAAAGACGGUUUUGCUGUCACUUAUAGAUGGAUCCGCGCCGCAUUAGCUAGUUGGUAAGGUAACGGCUUACCAAGGCAACGAUGCGUAGCCGACCUGAGAGGGUGAUCGGCCACACUGGAACUGAGACACGGUCCAGACUCCUACGGGAGUCAGCAGUAGGGAAUCUUCCGCAAUGGGCGAAAGCCUGACGGAGCAACGCCGCGUGAGUGAUGAAGGUCUUCGGAUCGUAAAACUCUGUUAUUAGGGAAGAACAAAUGUGUAAGUAACUAUGCACGUCUUGACGGUACCUAAUCAGAAAGCCACGGCUAACUACGUG